CCCCGCUUCACCGCCAUCCACAUAACAAGUCGAGCGGAACGGCAGUAUUGAAGCUUCGGUGGAUUUACUGGACGUCGAGCGGCGGACGGGUGAGUAACGGCUGGGAACCUGCCCUGACGAGGGGGAUAACCGUUGGAAACGACGGCUAAUACCGCAUAAUGUCUUGAUUCGUUAGAGUCAGGACCAAAGGUGGCCUCUACAUGUAAGCUAUCGCGUUGGGAUGGGCCCAGUUAGGAUUAGCUAGUUGGUAAGGUAAUGGCUUACCAAGGCAACGAUCCUUAGCUGGUUUGAGAGGAUGAUCAGCCACACUGGGACUGAGACACGGCCCAGACUCCUACGGGAGGCAGCAGUGGGGAAUAUUGCACAAUGGGGGAGACCCUGAUGCAGCCAUGCCGCGUGUGUGAAGAAGGCCUUCGGGUUGUAAAGCACUUUCAGCAGUGAGGAAGGUCGUGUACUUAAUACGUGCACGGCUUGACGUUAGCUGCAGAAGAAGCACCGGCUAACUCCGUGCCAGCAGCCGCGGUAAUACGGAGGGUGCGAGCGUUAAUCGGAAUUACUGGGCGUAAAGCGCAUGCAGGCGGUUUGUUAAGUCAGAUGUGAAAGCCCGGGGCUCAACCUCGGAACCGCAUUUGAAACUGGCAGGCUAGAGUCUUGUAGAGGGGGGUAGAAUUUCAGGUGUAGCGGUGAAAUGCGUAGAGAUCUGAAGGAAUACCAGUGGCGAAGGCGGCCCCCUGGACAAAGACUGACGCUCAGAUGCGAAAGCGUGGGUAGCAAACAGGAUUAGAUACCCUGGUAGUCCACGCCGUAAACGCUGUCUACUUGGAGGUUGAGGUUUUAGACUUUGGCUUUCGGCGCUAACGCAUUAAGUAGACCGCCUGGGGAGUACGGCCGCAAGGUUAAAACUCAAAUGAAUUGACGGGGGCCCGCACAAGCGGUGGAGCAUGUGGUUUAAUUCGAUGCAACGCGAAGAACCUUACCUACUCUUGACAUCCAGCGAAGCCUUUAGAGAUAGAGGCGUGCCUUCGGAGCGCUGAGACAGUGCUGCAUGCUGUCGUCAGCUCGUGUGUGAAAUGUUGGCUAGUCCCGCACGAGCGCACCUAUCCUGUGCAGCCGUAUGAGGAACUCAGGAACUGCUGUGAUACCGAGAA
rnacentral:rRNA from 1 species